rnacentral:lncRNA from 1 species
CAGAAGGAGAAAGAGCCCAACCACAAGAAGGAACUGAAGUGCCAUCACUGGUUUGAAGACACAGAGGGCCUCACGUAGAGAAGGACAGUGGCUCUUCACCCCUAGCUGACAACCAGAAAGGAAACAAGCUCCCCAGUCCUACAACUGCAUAGAACGGAACUCUGCCGGCAUCCCGAGUAAGCACGAAAUGGGUUAUUCCUCGAGCCUUCAGAUAAAAACCCAGCCUGGCCAACACCUCAAUAUCAGCUUCGUGAGACCUUGAGCAGAGAAGCCAGUCAAGCCACCUGGACUUCUGACCUCCAGAAUGAGAACAGAAGACAUAGCCAAGCACUCUUAUGGCCUUUGGAAUUAUGCCAGCAAGAGCUCUGUUGGCUACAACCGGCCUUUUACUUUCAAGACAAGACCAAAAACAUAAAUCUGACAUUUGCC